GACGAACGCUGGCGGCGUGCUUAACACAUGCAAGUCGAACGGAAAGGCCCUGCUUUUGUGGGGUGCUCGAGUGGCGAACGGGUGAGUAACACGUGAGUAACCUGCCCUUGGCUUUGGGAUAACUUCAGGAAACUGGGGCUAAUACCGGAUAGGAGCUCCUGCUGCAUGGUGGGGGUUGGAAAGUUUCGGCGGUUGGGGAUGGACUCGCGGCUUAUCAGCUUGUUGGUGGGGUAGUGGCUUACCAAGGCUUUGACGGGUAGCCGGCCUGAGAGGGUGACCGGCCACAUUGGGACUGAGAUACGGCCCAGACUCCUACGGGAGGCAGAAGUGGGGAAUAUUGCACAAUGGGCGGAAGCCUGAUGCAGCAACGCCGCGUGCGGGAUGACGGCCUUCGGGUUGUAAACCGCUUUCGCCUGUGACGAAGCGUGAGUGACGGUAAUGGGUAAAGAAGCACCGGCUAACUACGUG
rnacentral:rRNA from 1 species